rnacentral:hammerhead_ribozyme from 1 species
AUUCAGCUGACGUGUCCUGAAAUAGGAUGGAACGCGUGUCCUGGAU